rnacentral:pre_miRNA from 1 species
AUCGAUCCCAUUUAUAAAGAAUUUUCGUAUUCAAUUUUUAUCAUUUAUCUUAUUUAAAAUUCUUUUAUAAUUAAUAUUUUUAUUGUUAUUAGAUGAUAAAGUGUGAAUAGUAUUUUUAUGUGUAACUUAUGUUUUUUAUUUUUUUAAAUUUUUUAAAUAAGAUGGAUGAUUAAAGUUAGAUACAGAAAUUUAUGAUUGUAUUUAAA